UAGGGAAUCUUCCACAAUGGACGCAAGUCUGAUGGAGCAACGCCGCGUGAGUGAAGAAGGUUUUCGGACCGUAAAGCUCUGUUGUUGGUGAAGAAGGAUAGAGGUAGUAACUGGCCUUUAUUUGACGGUAAUCAACCAGAAAGUCACGGCUAACUACGUGCCAGCAGCCGCGGUAAUACGUAGGUGGCAAGCGUUGUCCGGAUUUAUUGGGCGUAAAAGCGAGCGCAGGCGGAAGAAUAAGUCUGAUGUGAAAGCCCUCGGCUUAACCGAGGAAUUGCAUCGGAAACUGUUUUCUUGAGUGCAGAAGAGGAGAGUAGAACUCCAUGUGUAGCGGUGGAAUGCGUAGAUAUAUGGAAGAAUACCAGUGGCGAAGGCGGCUCUCUGGUCUGCAACUGACGCUGAGGCUCGAAAGCAUGGGUAGCGAACAGGAUUAGAUACCCUGGUAGUCCAUGCCGUAAACGAUGAGUGCUAAGUGUUGGGAGGCUUCCGCCUCUCAGUGCUGCAGCUAACGCAUUAAGCACUCCGCCUGGGGGAGUACGACCGCAAGG
rnacentral:rRNA from 1 species